rnacentral:rRNA from 1 species
AGAAUCAACGCUGGCGGCGUGCCUAACACAUGCAAGUCGCACGAGAAAGGGGAGCAAUCCCUGAGUAAAGUGGCGCACGGGUGAGUAACACGUGAAUAAUCUACCUCCGAGUGGGGAAUAACUGAGAGAAAUCUUAGCUAAUACCGCAUAACACUUACGAGUCAAAGCAGCAAUGCGCUUGGAGAGGAGUUCGCGGCCGAUUAGUUAGUUGGCGGGGUAAUGGCCCACCAAGACGAUGAUCGGUAUCCGGCCUGAGAGGGCGCACGGACACACUGGAACUGAAACACGGUCCAGACUCCUACGGGAGGCAGCAGUGGGGAAUUUUGCGCAAUGGGGGAAACCCUGACGCAGCAACGCCGCGUGGAGGAUGAAGCCCCUUGGGGUGUAAACUCCUUCGAUCGGGAAGAUAAUGACGGUACCGAUAUAAGAAGCCCGGCUAACUUCGUGCCAGCAGCCGC